ensembl:lncRNA
AUGCCAGUUACAAAUCCUCAUCACUAUCAGCUGCCCUCCUUAACCCGGGCGUUUCCUCAUCACUUUCCUCAUCAGAGCUGGAACACCUCUGACUACGCCCCACAGCAUCCCCAGCUGUGGAUCCCGUCCCAUCCCUCCAGCUUGUCCAUGGGUCUAAUCCUGAAGGUCCCCAUUCAUCUUCCAUCCCAUUAUUGCCAGUGGCACCCAAAUCCUCAUCACUAUCAGCUGCCCUCCUUAACCCGGGCGUUUCCUCAUCACUUUCCUCAUCAGAGCUGGAACACCUCUGACUACGCCCCACAGCAUCCCCAGCUGUGGAUCCCGUCCCAUCCCUCCAGCUUGUCCAUGGGUCUAAUCCUGAAGGUCCCCAUUCAUCUUCCAUCCCAUUAUUGCCAGUGGCACCCAACUCCUCCCUUACCCGAGUCCAAUCCAUCUCAUCCUCUUCCGAGCUAACCAGCUCUUCCUCCAUUCUCUCCGUGAACCCCUUAAAAGACUCUUUGUCAGAUGGUUCUGCAAAGAUAUCUCGCAGCCUCUUUCUUUCUCGCUCCUCGAGAGUAUCUGACUCUCGAGGAGUCUUACGUCCACGUCUGCCAGAAGCAGAGCCAUGAGGCUCAAUCAUAACAACAAGUGAAAUCAUGCUACAGUUUAGGGCAGAAUGGCACUGGCAUCUACAUUUGAUUUUGAACAGCAUAGGAAGUAUAUGUAGAACAAAAAGUGAGGCUUUACACAUAGUUUUUAAGGCUAAUUCUAGAAGCAACCUCAUUUUAAUUUUUUAAAAUUUUUGUUUUUGGUAAAAAUGCUCCCACAGUAACUGACUUACGGUAAUAUUGGUUUUAUGAUAAGCAAGACAAUGUCUGCCUACAGGGUGAAAUCUAACAAGCAUGGCACAAAGGGAGGUGGAAGUGGAGGAAGCAAAGAGAUGUAAAGAUUCAGGAAAUGAAUGCAGGCACCAGUACAGAAAGUUAUGUCUUACUUAACUACUGUUUCAUUAGCCGCUAAGUUUGUGUCUGAGCCUUUAUAAGCCUCCCCCAUGAUUUAGUUCCUCACUGUCUUCCUUUUCUAGUUGUCAGAGCAUAUCAGUUGAUCCCAAAUGUAGUUGUUCUCUCAACGGCAGUUGGGAUCUAGAUUUUGAGAGGAAACAGGACUGCCUCACCUGUCCUAUGCUCCAGUUAGCAAGUGACCUGGGAGCCAGAUAGUUUGAGUGUAAGAGCUAUCUAGGAACAAAUCCAGACCAGUCAUGAGGUAUUCAGGAGGAUGAAGGAAGAAGCAAGAAUUGACAUCUUUCAGUCCAGAAGUUGUUCAGCAAGUCCAGACAAGGCAGCAAGAAACAUAAAUUAUAGCCAGUGCCAUUUCUCUUUGUCUCUUUGCCACCCAAUGAAUGAUGGCAAUGGGUCUUCUGCAAGUUCCUGCUAUGGAGCAGGGCACCCUCUGGCUCAACGUACAGCUCCUCAGGUUUGGAAAGACCAUGGGUCAAUGGAAUGCAGAUUCCUGGCAAUCUAACACCUCUCCAUCUGAAUAAUCCACUUCUAGAGGGUGAAUUAUGCCAUCACUCCAUGUCAAAAACAAAGCGGAAUAAAAAAGUGAUCAAUAAUAUUUUUUAAAAGGUAGACAAUUUAAAAGGUGAAAUCAACUCAAGUUAUGGACAGUUUUCCAUACAGAAAGAUGACUCCUAUGCCAAUUGGGCAAGGGGUUCCAUGUCAGCUUCUAAGUCUAAAAUUUAUUGGAGCCAUUCAAGAUGAUAAAUCUGUUUUGCGGAAGGGGUUUAGCACCUGGAAAAGCUUCUUUAAAUCACAGAGGAAAACCUGGGGUAAAUUCAAUGCCUUACUAACAUGAAAAGUAUCAAGUGUAACUAGCAGAUUCUUGUGUUCAGUCAAUAUAUACUGGGAUGGAGAACUUGUGGACUUACAGAUGAUUUUGGACCCUAGUUUUCCUAUUCUCUCACCAUUAGCUAUUUUGGCCAGGAUUGAUGGGAGCUAUAUGCCAAAUCAUCUGAAUGGUUACUAUUUUCCACACUUAACUUAAACAAUUGUAACUCAAUAAGACAACAUAAGAUAUGAUUGUCAAAUAAUGCUUUGCUUCUAAUAAAUGAUGUUCUAUUGUCAUGGAAAGGAAAGUGUAAUUCACACAAUUGACAAGCCAGUAUCUGACAGCAGCAAUUACCCUGUUAAAACAGUAUGGUCAAAUGAAAAGGCCUUUAAUGGCAUGCAAGAUGACAAUCUAUACAUUGCCUAGUCAUCCCCUGAGGUAUAAAAUAAUAUAGGCUUUUUAUUUUGUUUCUUGUCUUUCAGUCCGAUAGUAGGAGUGUUAUCUAUGCCACUUUAGAGAAUAUAGAGAGCAAGAUUUAAUGGAACACUAUAUCAAAUGCCUUAGUAAAAUUGUUAGCAUGUGUCACACUUGGCUGGUGCUUUAGCCUCAUGUGUUAUUUACACUUCA